AAGAGAGAGACAUGCGCGCAUAUCAAUAAGCGGAGGAAAAGAAACUAGCAAGGAUUCCCUUAGUAACGGCGAGUGAAGCGGGAAGAGCUCAAAUUUGAAAUCUUCAAGGUUCUACCUUGACGAAUUGUAGUUUAUAGAAGUGUUUUCUGUUAGUGGAGUUGGCUAAAAGUUCUUUGGAAUAGGACAUCAUAGAGGGUGAGAAUCCCGUAUUUGGUCAUUCCUCCUAGCGUUGUGAUACACUUUCAACGAGUCGGAUUGUUUGGGAAUGCAGUCCAAAAUGGGUGGUAAAUUUCAUCUAAAGCUAAAUAUUGGCGAGAGACCGAUAGCGAACAAGUACCGUGAGGGAAAGAUGAAAAGAACUUUGAAAAGAGAGUUAAACAGUACGUGAAAUUGUCAAAAGGGAAGCGUUUGACACCAGUGUUGUUUAGUUCCGAAAAUCAAUUCACUAAUUUUUGAUUUUGAGUAGUUAUGACUUCAUCAGCUUGCUGCCUUUCUUUAUCAGAAACUUUCUUGAAUGCACUUUUCAGUUAACAAGUCAACAUCAAUUUCUUUUGUUGUAAAAGGGUAUGAGGAAGGUGGCUUUCUUUUCGGAGAAAGUGUUUAUAGCCUUGUACCUCUGCAAUCGGAGAGAUUGAGGUCUGCAGCGUAGAUCCUUCGGGGUUAGAUACAUUUGUGCUAAGUUAUAGCUUUUCAUAGACAACUUGUUGACUAUGUUUAGUCUUGUAGCUUACUCGCUUAUGCUAUUUUACCUACGCUUAGAUGUUGAUCUGUAGUGCGUGCGC
rnacentral:rRNA from 1 species